rnacentral:siRNA from 1 species
GGGCUCAUAGCUCAGUGGUAGAGC